GGCUGAAUGCUGGAGGGGAAGGAGGCAUGCUGCUAGCUCUUGAGGUGGAAGAGCCAGCCAGCGCACCAGGAUACAGAGGCCAGCUAAGCUGGGAUGCACCCUGAUACCCAGACAGAGGACUGCCUGAAGUGGAGAGCCCAGUGUUUAUGACAAGUCCAUACAUCAUCAUCCACCUUGAAAUGCCACGUGAGGCCUGGCUGUGAGGGGCUCCUGCUGCUCAGGUCACCAAGUACAAAGCCUACAACUUGAUCCCUAAGAUGGAGAACGGAGACAUGGAGAGAUUAAGAACCUUUGAGGAACUGGGCCUCAAAUGACUUGCCCAAGUUCACUCAGUAAAUCUGUGUUAAAGCUGGGAAUGCAGCCAAGAUCUCAUGAGUACCAAGCUUGUGCCUCAACCACAAGAUUGUUCUUCCAAAGGAGAGUUUCCUUGUUAAAAUGACUCUUUUCCCGAGGAUACUAGGAUCCCAGGUGUAUUGUGCUUUCAUGGACUUCUGGAGAGUGGCUUCAGAGAUGGAUCCUGAGCUGGUAAGUCAACAAAACUUCAUUGAAGUCAAUGACGCUACUUGAUUUACAUCAGCUGAGGAUCUGUCCCUCUGUUCAUAAGAACAUGGGUGCCUGCUCACAAAUGAGAAUAUUCAUGCUAGACAUGUUUACUUUAGGCCAUUCAACUUGGGAACAGAAACCAUGCCAUGUGACUUAGUUAGCCAAUCACCGAGCUCCAAUACUGGACAUCGAAUACUGCAUGUAUCACUUGCUAUGACUACUUCUUGAAAAAUCCAAUAGGAUGAAACCUGUUUGUAAAAAUUAUAGGAACAAUGAAAUUGUGAUCAGCUUGUGGAGAGUUGAAAUACAAAAGAGGGCUGAAUCCAAGGUAUACAGGGCUGAUCCAACCAGCUGUCAUUAUGACAAUGUACUUACCAGUCCAAACAUGCAUCUUCAAUCUAGACAAGCUUCAUUUGUGAUUAAAAAAAUACCAGCAAAGAAAAAAGUA